GACGAACCGUGCGAACGUUGUUCGGAAUCACUGGGUUUAAAGGGCGCGUAGGCGGGCUGUCAAGUCGGUGGUGAAAUCGUUCCGCUCAACGGGACAAUGGCCUUCGAUACUGGCGGCCUGGAGGGAGGUAGGGGCAUGCGGAACUUCCGGUGGAGCGGUGAAAUGCGUAGAUAUCGGGAGGAACACCUGUGGCGAAAGCGGCUCACUGGACCACAACUGACGCUGAGGCGCGAAAGCUAGGGGAGCAAACAGG
rnacentral:rRNA from 1 species